rnacentral:lncRNA from 1 species
CACAGGCCGAGCAGACCCUCUCCUAACUGGCCGUGUCCUGGUGUCCUGCGCUAAGCCAGGGCUCCCAGAAUGAAGCCUCUCCCAAGUUCCUGUUAGGGCAUGUCUGUCAAGGGGAGGGUUUGUGAUCCAUAUGGUGAUGGCUGGAGCUGGAGGCAUGGUGCAGACUUUCAGGGACUGAGCACAGACGUGGGCGGGAUGAGAUGACACGCUCAGACACGUCUAUGCACGAGUCAGUACACGAGUGUCCCUUCAGGCAUCGAUGCCUCGAUCCGAGUAUCUUGGAGGUCGUUGGUGUUUAUUUACUGGACACGCUCCACCAUUGCUUCGGACAUGCCAGCCGCAGCUGGGGUGCGUCUGCCCAGGUGAGCUGUUACCUCUGAUCAGCCUGAGAGGCAGUGCGGUUCUGAGAUUCCAGCCUGGACAAGAGCAGUGGCGGGGCGCGGAUGUGGCCUUGGAUCUGUCAUCCCAGGGACAGACGUUGACUGCGGAACGGUGAAAGUGCCUGAGUUUGACCCCGACUCUGACCGUGACCCCAAGCCUAACCCUUCCGAUCUCAUCUACCCCAUAGACACACAGGCUCCUCUUUAGUGGGGAAGACUUUUACUUUGAAAAAUACUCUGACAGUAGGUAAGGGUUACCUUCCGGAAGGUUCAGUUACUCAAGAAAUGCCUGCCUCCAGGCCGUGUGUGAAGCAUUUCAGGGGCGCAUCAGGAGGAAUGCGCCCACAAAACUUCCGCUUUGUGGAACUCUGUUUCUGGGGUCCGUCUGCCUCUGAGGGCAGCUUCAAGGUCUGUAAGGGCUCUGUGCCCGACUCCGCUUCCCUCCUACGAGCCCUUGGCCCUGUCUGCGGUAGCUGCCUCCCCUCGGGUCGCCGCGCUAGCCCCGCCUCUGCGCUGCCCCCGGCCCCGCCCGGCGUCUUCGGGGUGGGUAGGGAGACCAGGGGCGUUUCUCCCCCUCCCUCGGGGUCUCGGCUUGAGUCUGGGCUCUCUCCCCGGCUCUGCGCCUGGCCUCCCAGCGCAGGGGUGGGCCGGCUCCCCGCGCCGGUUCUGGGGGCCUCGCUGACUGGUUCCCGCCCCUCAGGCCUCUCAGCUUCAGGGAUGUGAAAUGAACGCCCUUUGUGGUGAGAAAGGAAGCAGAGGAGAAGAGGAAAGGCUCACCCUGUGACCAGGAAAGCUGCAAUCACAGGAGAGGGGCGGGACCUCCCGGGAGGGCGGUGGGCAGGGGCGGGGUGCGGCCAGGACCCCCUCCCCGCCACCCAAGCACCUGGCGUCUCAGGCCCCGUGACCCUGCUGUAAUGUCUGCUGGUCCCACUGAGACCCCACAGGCUGCAGCCGUGGGCCCCGGGCUAGGCCGGGGGAGCACCGCGGUCAGGACCCUGCCUCUUGCUGAUAAGGAGGCCGCUGGGUCCCUCGGAGGGGCAGGCUGGGCGCUGUCAUUCUCCUAGGCUCGUGCUUCUCCUCUCGGCACUUCCCUCUGUUACCUGUUUAUGAAUCUUGUCUCCCCCCCCCGCCCGCGCGCCAAGCCAAGCCCAGGCAGCAUCUCAGGGAGGGGGUGAGGCCACCGGUUACCACAGUCACAGUACCCGCAUCUCAGCUCAGCGGCCAUGGUGACUAGCAACAAGAUGACGUCAUGACCUCUGACCCCUCAGCAGGAGGCUCUGCGUUGGAGGGACUUGGAGAGUUGCUGACGUCAGUGCGCGGUGGUCAGGCUAACUGCCCUGGAAGUGAGCCUGGGGCCCUGAAGGAAGGGGGAGCGGGGAUCCCUGGCAGCCCUGAGCUGUAGACCCUGUCCUUGCCCACUUCCCGGUCAUGCCCCCACACCCCCCCAGAUAAGGGGCUGGACCUGGGCCUGUUCUUACUUCCCCCGCUCAUGAGGCUCAUCAGGGGCUCAUCUCAGCCCCCAAGAGCCAAGGUCAGCAGAUGGGGGACACAGUGCUGCCUUUUACUGGUGAGUACAUGUCAAAUGAUCGAUGAUGAUUAAGUGCUUACAACAAAUGCCCGGAGGAUGGAGCGGCUGUCUGUGGGGCGUGUCCUCCGGCUUCAGGGGAGGAAGGCCCAUCCCCGUCUCCCCUUCUUCUGGCCGGUCCCGCGUCUGUUUAUGAGCUUUGCACCUCCUCCAGGCGCUGGCGUUUGUCACCUCCAUGCAACACGAUACUGCACGCUAAUCCGCACCUAGUGUGCUAAUUUGUGCAGUUUUUAAAAAGAAUUGUCUGCUCAUGUCCUCUGCCCGUUUUCCACUGAGGAUUUGUCUUUGCUUCACACUUGCGCACGUGAUAAUAAACACCUGCUUCAGGGCA